GAUGAACGCUAGCGACAGGCUUAACACAUGCAAGUCGAGGGGCAGCAUGAUUUGUAGCAAUACAGAUUGAUGGCGACCGGCGCACGGGUGAGUAACGCGUAUGCAACUUACCUAUCAGAGGGGGAUAGCCCGGCGAAAGUCGGAUUAAUACCCCAUAAAACAGGGGUCCCGCAUGGGAAUAUUUGUUAAAGAUUCAUCGCUGAUAGAUAGGCAUGCGUUCCAUUAGGCAGUUGGCGGGGUAACGGCCCACCAAACCGACGAUGGAUAGGGGUUCUGAGAGGAAGGUCCCCCACAUUGGUACUGAGACACGGACCAAACUCCUACGGGAGGCAGCAGUGAGGAAUAUUGGUCAAUGGCCGAGAGGCUGAACCAGCCAAGUCGCGUGAAGGAAGAAGGAUCUAUGGUUUGUAAACUUCUUUUAUAGGGGAAUAAAGUGGAGGACGUGUCCUUUUUUGUAUGUACCCUAUGAAUAAGCAUCGGCUAACUCCGUG
rnacentral:rRNA from 1 species